rnacentral:tRNA from 1 species
GGAGAGAUGGCCGAGUGGUUUAAGGCUCUAGUCUUGAAAACUAGUGUGGUUUAAUAACUACCAAGGGUUCGAAUCCCUUUCUCUCCU